UUCUUCUGCUGCCCCACUUCCGCUCCCGCCUCCCGCCUCCCGCUGUGUCACUGACCAUUCGCCGCCUUAGACGUCACAGUUAAAGCCACGCCUGUAUGAGUGACGUCAUUCAUGGCCAAUAGGAAACCAAGCAUUGGAUUCGUGGCGCCAAAUCCUGUCUUCGGCGCUUUCAGAAGCAACAUUUGUCCCUCGCUUAGCGGUGUUAUAUGCAGUUUAGAAAAGGAGUUUAACGGCCGAGCGUGGUGGCUCACUCCUGUAAUCCAAGCACUUUGGAGACCAAGGUGGGCGGAUCACCUGAGGACGGGAAUUCAAGAGCAGCCUGAAGAACAUGGUGAAACCCCGUCUUUAUUAAAAAAAGAAAAGAAAGAAAGAAAAAGAGAAGGAAUUUAACGUGAGAGUCUCUAUUAAAAUUUGAAACGUACAAAUCCUGUAACUUAGUGAUUUUGCGACUCGGAAUCACACUAGAGAAACAAGUAAAUGUGUGGUGGUUAUUGUUUCUCGUUCACACAGUCACCCUUUUAUACUCAACUCCAUGUUACUGGGGCGCCCCUGCUGGAUUCCACCAACAGGGCAACAAAGGCAAGAAGAAGAAGGGACUUGCUCCAUUCUGUGAGCAUCCUCUCAGCAGCAGCUGCCUUUUACUGUGGCAGGAGCAAUUGCUUUAGCCAGCAGGUGGUUUUAAUCUCCAUCCUUUUUCCAACAAUCACAGAAUCAGCCUUAUUGCACCCCUCAAAGAUAACAGCAGCAAUCAGUGCUCUCCUCAGAGAUCUGAAUUCCAGUUUCAUGGGGCCUUUCCCCUGAGCUCUUGAGAUAAUAGCCAAUGUUUGAGCCCCAACACCGUGGGAUCUCUUCUUUUAGCUCCAGAGGUCCAGCAACAGCCAGCCAUCACCCUCUCUUCAUUCUUCAAAGGCCUGAACUAAGGCUGGGCACGGUGGUUCAUGCCUGUAAUCCCAGCAAUUUGGGAUCCACACCAGCAGCUGUCCGUUGAUCCCCUUCAUGGAGAUGAUAUACAGGUUUUUGGCUCCUGUGUUGUCAGCACAAUUGAUCACAGCUCCUACUGGAAGAUGCAAGGAAAUCUGAACUUCCGCACCAGAGGACCCACCACAUCCUCACUUCCACAUCUUGAACUCCAGAAAGAAGGAAAAAAUAGAAACAGGGUUUCACCAUGUUGGCCAGGAUGGUCUCAAUCUUCCGACCUCGUGAUCUACCCGCCUCGGCCUCCGAAAGUGCUGGGAUUACAGGUAUGAACCACUGCACCCAGCUGGCUGAUGAUUAUUUUACACUGUUUAACUGAAUGGUUGCUAAAAUAGUAAAAUUCUCCUAUACCCUCUGAAAUAUUCUUUCAUUGCCCUUGCCAUUUCCCUAGGACUUCUCUGACCUCCCCUUGAUUCCUGACUAAAGUGUUAAUUGCAGAUUUAUGAGGAGGCUUCUAAAAUCCCAUUCCAGCCCCAGACGUGUGACUAUUCCAAUGGAUGGUGACCGCGUCAUAUUGGUUGUUGAGUACGUUGAAUAUCAUCCCUUCCCACAAACCUUCCUUCCAUCUUCAACUAUAGUCCUUCCAUAAUUCUGUUUAAAAAGAAGUGUCAAAGAUGGGGAAAAAAAAUAAAUGCACAAGGCUAGUCAUUGCUGCACCACUUCAAAGUCAAAAUGAAGGAACAGAACAACACAAAUAUCCAUCAACUGGAUGCCAGUUGAAAAAAUAUGGUGCAACUACAUAAUGUAAUAUUAUAUAGCUAUUAAAGGA